GACGAACGCUGGCGGCGUGCUUAACACAUGCAAGUCGAACGGAAAGGCCUGCUUUCCCUUGUGGAUUGCGGGUACUCGAGUGGCGAACGGGUGAGUAACACGUGAGUGAUCUGCCCCCAACUUGGGUAUAAGCCUGGGAAACUGGGUCUAAUUCCCGAUAGGACUGCAGGGUGGUGCCUGUGGUGGAAAACGAUUUUCUAGUGGUUGGGGAUGAGCUCGCGGCCUAUCAGCUUGUUGGUGGGGUAAUGGCCUACCAAGGCGGCGACGGGUAGCCGGCCUGAGAGGGUGGACGGCCACAUUGGGACUGAGAUACGGCCCAGACUCCUACGGGAGGCAGCAGUGGGGAAUAUAGCACAAUGGGCGGAAGCCUGAGGCAGCGACGCCGCGUGGAGGAUGACGGCCUUCGGGUGGUAAACUCCUUUCGACCGCGAGGAAGCCACCUGGUUGGAAGGGUGGUGACGGUAGUGGUAGAAGAAGCACCGGCUAACUACGUG
rnacentral:rRNA from 1 species